rnacentral:rRNA from 1 species
GACGAACGCUGGCGGCGCGCCUAACACAUGCAAGUCGAACGAGCGAGAGAGAGCUUGCUUUCUUGAGCGAGUGGCGAACGGGUGAGUAACUCGUGAGGAACCUGCCUCAAAGAGGGGGACAACAGUUGGAAACGACUGCUAAUACCGCAUAAGCCCACGGUGCCGCAUGGCACAGAGGGAAAAGGAGCAAUCCGCUUUGAGAUGGCCUCGCGUCCGAUUAGCUAGUUGGUGAGGUAACGGCCCACCAAGGCGACGAUCGGUAGCCGGACUGAGAGGUUGAACGGCCACAUUGGGACUGAGACACGGCCCAGACUCCUACGGGAGGCAGCAGUGGGGAAUAUUGCACAAUGGGGGAAACCCUGAUGCAGCGACGCCGCGUGGAGGAAGAAGGUCUUCGGAGUGUAAACUCCUGUUGUUGGGGAAGAUAAUGACGGUACCAAACAAGGAAGUGACGGCUAAAUACGUG